rnacentral:ncRNA from 1 species
CAAGGAUUCCCUCAGUAACGGCGAGUGAAGCGGGAAUAGCUCAAAUUUGAAAUCUCCGACCCUUGCGGGUCGGCGAAUUGUAGUUGCGAGAAGCACUUUCUAGGCGGAUCGGUGGUGCCUAAGUUGCUUGGAACAGUACGUCAUAGAGGGUGACAACCCCGUCUGUGGCUCGGCCGACCGCUCACGAUGUGCUUUCGAAGAGUCGGGUUGUUUGGGAAUGCAGCCCAAAAAUGGUGGUAAACUCCAUCUAAAGCUAAAUACUGACGUGAGACCGAUAGCGAACAAGUACCGUGAGGGAAAGAUGAAAAGAACUUUGAAAAGAGAGUUAAAAAGUACGUGAAACCGUUUGAAGGGAAACGAAUGGACUCAGCAAUGCGCCCUUUGAGAUUCAGCCGGGCGGUUGUGGCGGUCCGGGGCUUGCGGAUCUGAAUGGACCGCGGUCUCGGGCCCGUCGCUUCCGACCGUCGCACUUCUCUUGGACGCGAGUCAACGUCGGUUGGGACUGGGCCUCAAAGGUUCCGGGAAGGUAGGUCCGGACGCUCGCGUUCGGACUGUUACAGCCCGGUUCUCUCGCGGCUCGGGCCCGACCGAGGCGGAUGCAGCACAUGCCUCUUCUGGCUAGGGUCCCGUCCUUCCGGCCGGUUGUCGAAUGCGGUGGACUGCUUGCAGUGCUCUGCGACUGCUGCCGGUCGUUGGGGUGGUGAUCUCGUACCAUGUGCUAAGGACGUUGGCGGUCAUAUGGGUCCAUCCGACCCGUCUUGAAACACGGACCAAGGAGUCUAACAUGUGCGCGAGUCUUAGGGUGCUUGAAACCCAGAGGCAGAAUGAAAGUGAAGACGGCUUCGGCCGCUGAGGCGAGAUUCCGGCUCUCGUAGCCGGACGCAUCGUUGACCGACCUAUUCUACUCUUAGGAAGGUUUGAGUAAGAGCGUGUCUGUUGGGACCCGAAAGAUGGUGAACUAUGCCUGAAUAGGGUGAAGCCAGAGGAAACUCUGGUGGUGGCUCGUAGCGAUACUGACGUGCAAAUCGUUCGUCAAACUUGGGUAUAGGGGCGAAAGACUAAUCGAACCGUCUAGUAGCUGGUUUCUUCCGAAGUUUCUCUCAGGAUAGCUGGAGUUCAAUUAGUUUUAUCAGGUAAAGCGAAUGAUUAGAGGCCUCGGGGACGCGUUGUCCUCGACCUAUUCUCAAACUUUAAAUGGGUAAGAUCCAGUGGUUACUUCAUUGAACUGCUGGGAUUAAUAUGAACUCCAAGUGGGCCAUUUUUGGUAAGCAGAACUGGCGAUGAGGGAUGCUCCUAACGCUUGGUUAAGGUGCCUAAAUACUCGCUCAUGAGACACCAUAAAAGGUGUUGGUUCAUUUUGACAGCAGGACGGUGGUCAUGGAAGUCGAAAUCCGCUAAGAAGUGUGUAACAACUUACCUGCCGAAUGAACCAGCCCUGAAAAUGG